CCUACGGGUGGCAGCAGUGAGGAAUAUUGGUCAAUGGACGAGAGUCUGAACCAGCCAAGUAGCGUGAAGGAUGACUGCCCUAUGGGUUGUAAACUUCUUUUAUAUGGGAAUAAAAUGUUCCACGUGUGGGAUUUUGUAUGUACCAUAUGAAUAAGGAUCGGCUAACUCCGUGCCAGCAGCCGCGGUAAUACGGAGGAUCCGAGCGUUAUCCGGAUUUAUUGGGUUUAAAGGGAGCGUAGGUGGAUGGUUAAGUCAGUUGUGAAAGUUUGCGGCUCAACCGUAAAAUUGCAUUUGAAACUGGCAGUCUUGAGUACAGUAGAGGUGGGCGGAAUUCGUGGUGUAGCGGUGAAAUGCUUAGAUAUCACGAAGAACUCCGAUUGCGAAGGCAGUUCACUGGACUGCAACUGACACUGAGGCUCGAAAGUGUGGGUAUCAAACAGGAUUAGAUACCCUUGUAGUC
rnacentral:rRNA from 1 species